CUUGACAUCCAGCGAACUUCAGAGAUGGAUUGGUGGCCUUCGGGAACGCUGAGACAGGUGCUGCAUGGCUGUCGUCAGCUCGUGUUGUGAAAUGUGGGUUAAGUCCCGNAACGAGCGCAACCCUUAUCCUUUGUUGCCAGCGAUUCGGUCGGGAACUCAAAGGAGACUGCCGGUGAUAAACCGGAGGAAGGUGGGGAUGACGUCAAGUCAUCAUGGCCCUUACGAGUAGGGCUACACACGUGCUACAAUGGCGCAUACAAAGAGAAGCGACCUCGCGAGAGCAAGCGGACCUCAUAAAGUGCGUCGUAGUCCGGAUCGGAGUCUGCAACUCGACUCCGUGAAGUCGGAAUCGCUAGUAAUCGUGGAUCAGAAUGCCACGGUGAAUACGUUCCCGGGCCUUGUACACACCGCCCGUCACACCAUGGGAGUGGGUUGCAAAAGAAGUAGGUAGCUUAACCUUCGGGAGGGCGCUUACCACUUUGUGAUUCAUGACUGGGGUGAAGUCGUAACAAGGUAGGCGUAGCGAG
rnacentral:rRNA from 1 species